rnacentral:rRNA from 1 species
UAUUCCCCACUGCUGCCUCCCGUAGGAGUCUGGGCCGUGUCUCAGUCCCAAUGUGGCCGUCCGCCCUCUCAGGCCGGCUACUGAUCGUCGCUUUGGUGGGCCGUUACCUCACCAACUGGCUAAUCAGACGCGGGUCCAUCUCAGACCACCGGAGUUUUUCACACCGCUCCAUGCGGAGCUGUGCGCUUAUGCGGUAUUACCAGCCGUUUCCAGCUGCUAUCCCCCGGUCUGAGGCAGGUUCCCCACGCGUUACUCACCCGUCCGCCACUAUGCUGCUGCUGAUUCUGCCGAAGCUUCCUCUGCAGCAGCACCGUUCGACUUGCAUGUGUUAGGCACGCCGCCAGCGUUCAUCCUGAGCCAA